rnacentral:rRNA from 1 species
UGAAGACCUUACCCGAUUAGCUGAGAGGUGGUGCAUGGCCGUCGUCAGUUCGUACUGUGAAGCAUCCUGUUAAGUCAGGCAACGAGCGAGACCCACGUCCAUAGUUGCCAGCAUACCCUCCGGGGUGAUGGGUACACUGUGGAGACCGCCGCUGCUAAAGCGGAGGAAGGAGUGGGCAACGGUAGGUCAGUAUGCCCCGAAUCUCCCGGGCUACACGCGGGCUACAAUGGUUGGUACAAUGGGCAUCUACCCCGAAAGGGGAAGGAAAUCUCUUAAAGCCAAUCGUAGUUCGGAUUGAGGGCUGCAACUCGCCCUCAUGAAGCUGGAAUCCGUAGUAAUCGCGUUUCAACAGAACGCGGUGAAUACGUCCCUGCUCCUU